rnacentral:lncRNA from 1 species
ACGUCGUGGGCUGCAGCGCAGCAGCACCCAACGCAUCUAGCAGGAAAGGAGAGGGAGCUUUCCCCGAAGACCCUCCUGGACCAGCCCCAGGCUCCUGUGCUGGCGGUUCUGAGAAGUCCAAGGGUUGCUGGGAGAGGUUGGUUGCACGCCAGGGCCUGUACUGACCACCUCCACGUGCCACUGGGGCUGUAAGGAGGAAUGGCGGCCGUGGGCAGCCUGCUUGG